GGACUGGGGAAAACAGAACAGAAGAGAGGCGGCUUCCGGGUGGAUCAUCCUUGCGGCCGGGUCUCCAGGUUUGACUUAAGCCGCCAUUGAAGCAUGGUGCUUAUCUUUAUUACUUCUUAAUAUUUUCAGAAAUGGAGUUUCCACAUUUUUCUAAAAAAUCCUUAUACCGGGACAUUUUCUAACAUCGGCCUUAAAUCCUGCCUAUUAAGAGCUAAGCUCAUCCUCUCUGCAGAGAAUGCCUGGAAGAAGCUUUUAAUCUGUCCCCACCCCACCCCUCGUCCAAAUCCCAUUCUAGAUUCUGUUCCCCGCACCUCUGCUCACCAAGUCUAUUGCUCUGUAUUUCCUCCUUGUAUGGUCCCUGCCCGGAGUUUCCCUCCCGUGAGUCUUUCUAAUUAUAUGAACACCUUUCUUUGGGAUUCUUAUCUCUUCUCUCAGACACUAAAAUUUAAAGUUACAUGUCUCCCCUUCUCAGAUUUUCUUUUUCCGUUUUUUUUUUCCUCUUCAAAUUUUGCUUUGCCACUCUAUUCUAAAUUUUAUUUUAUUUUGAUGUCCAAAUCAUUUUUUUUUUCACCUAGAUUCAAUUUCCUUCUCAGGAAUUCCAUAGCCCGUGUCAGAGCACACACAGGCAAGUUCCUGUCUCUAAGGUAUACUCAGCACGGGGCCUGACAUGAGGAGGCAUCUCUCUGCAUAACCCUCACUGGGCUGUGGAGAUGGACGGAGAAAGAAAUAAAGAUGCCCCCGAGAGGGAACAUACUGUGCCUGGAGCACCACAAUAAGGUACUUCGGGAGACAGUUGUUAAGGUCUCAGAUUAUUCACCCCACCCCCACCCACUCCCCAACAGAAUGGUAACCUUUUGCAUGUAUGCAUUUGGUCGAGGAAAGGGAGUCUGGUGGCUUGUAUCCCGGAGUCUAUGAGGACAUGAGGGAAAAAUUUGUACCCCUGUUGUUUUGGGUACUUUGCAGAGCUAUGAUUUCUUUAAAAUGCAUGGAUCCUGUUGUUCAGGAAAAGGAGCAGAUGGGAAAUGAGCCUACCCUUGGGCUCAGAGGCUGCUAUGGAUCUGGACGCAGGUAGUCAGGCAACAGGAAACAAAUACAACAAAACACUGGGACGCAGGUAGUUAUUUUUGGUCUCUUGGGCAACUUGUGUCAGGACCUGAAGGAUGGUUGCUCUCAAGGCUUCUGCACGGGGCAGCCUUAACAUGUGGCUUGUAGAAGAUGCUAGUCGGGUAUUGAUGGGUUCCCAGCAGCUGGAUCUGUAGGCUUGAAAAUGAGUUUCCCUAGGCCAAAGAGCUGGAGGAGGCAGAGCCUAUCACAGUCAACAGCUGGUUGCAAAGCUAUGUAUGGUUUUCAGCCUGAGGUUGGAAGGAAACCUUGUAACAACCCAAAGGAACAAAAGGAAGACUAGAGGAGGCUGGUUUGAGAUGCUUAGAUAGAUCCUGGUGACUUGGUUCUAGUGUUUAUUCCAUGCCUCUCAAGGUGCAGCAACAAUGAAGGCAGAUGCGGAUCCUAACUACGUGUUACAAACUGUAUCUCCUUAUCUUUCAUAUCACAAUUCAUCAUCAUCAUCAGAGUAGCUACAACUGUCUAAGCACUUACCAUACAGUGAGGUAUUUAAACCGCACUGUGACCUAAAACCUAAAAUGAUACUAUUGUUAUUCCUUUCCUCUCAACAUAGUUUUAUUAAUUUUUUUUUGGAAUUUCAUACAAUGCACCCUGAUCAUACCCACUUCACAUUUUUCCUACCCUUGUGUGCCCAUCCCCCCAAAUGACUGAAAAAGAGAAGUCAGAAAAGUUCUAGUGAUUAGCCCAGGCUAGCAGGUGAUGGCUUGAAGGUCCUACUGAAGCAUAUAGAAUCCCGAAGUCCUAUAUUUCCUUAGGACAAUUUAGGGAGCCUCUGGGCAUGCUCUCUGUGCUUAGAACACUUUCUCAUCUCCCACAGAGCAGCGCAGGAUGCUCUGACUGGCUUUGGUGGCUGUGAGUUUCUGUCAGUGGCAGCUCCACCUGCCCCACCCGUAUUUACAUUUCUAGUAAAAGUGUGUUCUAGCCUUCUCCUGUCUGUUUUGUUAGGAUGUUGAGACCCUGUCUGCUUCUUUCCUACGGUCGUAAACAUUUACAGAUGCGGAAACUCAGUAAGUAUAUACCGAGGGGUGGGCGAAGCCGAGACAGACUCUGUAACAGUAGUGUGUGUCCGCAUCUGAGGCAUUCCUAGUCUUGCUAGGUGCUGCUAAGGCGAAGACAUUAAUAGUUCAACAGUCUGGUAAUAUCUAUAAUGUCGACUCUUCAAAAAACGUUAAUUGUUUAUUGAUCUCUUCUUGUUAUUCCUUGAAAACACACAUCUGGAUCUAUAGACUCUCCAUUCAGGGCCCAUUAUCUCCUGGUAGUCAUAGUUGGGCAAUCUUAUGGUGAAGGACAACCCCCUAUUAAAACCUUAUUUUAUCAUCUGCCAUCACUGAAGAGUAAGUAGACCUCACCAAAUGUAAAAUAUUAAAAUAACCUCAUACCCAUACUCUCUAUUUUGCUGAUAUUAGAAUAUUUAACGGGUUUUGAAUUUUUGCUUCUGGCUAUCUGGAAUGCUGGUGAUUAUCAUUCUGCUUAAUAUGAAAGUCAGGGUAGAAAUGUAUGAAAUAAUGGCUCUCGAGAUUCUGAAUAUGAGAUGGUGAAAGACAUAUGAUAUAUACACAUGUAUAUAUAUAUGUGUGUGUGUGUGUGUUUAGAUGCAGUGAACAAAGAAGGUGAAGUCAUGGUGGCCCACCUCACUGUCAGGAGAGUUUCAUGGCUGUGUGUCAGGAAGGGGAACCCAGAAUAGAGCUUGGCAGCUCUCCAAGUUUAGGUGCUGGAGAUGGAAGACCAUAUAGGCAAGUAUUAGAGUCCAAGGACAGAGUCCCAGAGAGGGAAGAUAUCAGCAGAGAGAGGGAGAGAGACCUCCAGAGAUCUGCACAGGAUCCUCUCUGGUUUUCAGCUGAGCACCCAUCCACUCAUGCGAGUGUGAAAACCAGCUGGGUUUCC
rnacentral:lncRNA from 1 species